CAGGGUGUCCCCAAAGUGUCCCCAAAGUGUCCCCUCCCCUGGACCCCACCCCAUGGUCAGUGAUGGGAUUGGGAUGGGGCUGGGAAUGGGAAUUCACUCAGGGCUGACCCCAAAGCCCCCCCCGAAGCCCCCCUGCCCCCUUUUGCCUCCAAAGAAAAGGGAUGGAAUCAUCACCACUCCCCCAAAAAUCCCUUUGGGCUGAAAUCCCCGAAUCCCAAGGGAUUUGUGAGGGGAAAAUCCACCUCAGACUCCCUGUGGAUGAGGAGGUGAGGGGUUCAGCACUCCCCACCAGCCCAAAAGGUGCCAUUCCCACCCAUCCCUCCCAGGAACUCCAGUGCAGCCAGGCUGGUGAGGGAGGGCUGUAUUUGUGGUGGCACACGGUGACAGCGAGGGUGGCACCGACCCCGGCACCCCCGAGGUGCAAACCAGGAGGAAUCCAUGUAAAAAUAGAGGGAAUAUUUACACACAGCAUCCUUUAAAAAGCUGGCAUGUGGGGUGGGAACUCCAGGGCUAGAACACGGCCCAGGGCUGGGUUUAGGGACUCCAGCACGUCACAGCCUCACCCCAAAGCUACUCCUCAAUCCCUGGGGUCCCCUGAGCAGCCUCUGUCCCCUCCCCUCUCCUCCUGCUUCCACAAAAACAUUUUUUCCUUAUUUUUUUUUUCCUCAGGAAUCCUCUCCCUGAGGCUCAGGCAGGUCAGGCCUUGACCCUGCAUCCCUUUCCCCCAAACACCUUUUCCCUACACCUGCUGCUGCAACUUCAAGCGUUAAAUACAGCAUUUAUGGUUAAAUGGGAUCCCAUUCCUUUUGAAAACCAGCUUGGGGAGCAGCCAGGGCAGCAUUCCCAGCCCAGGGAGCUUUGGGAUGAGCUUUGGGAUCAGCUGUGCUCUUCCAAGAGCAGCAUCCCCAUCCCUGUGACCUUUGGGAUGAGCUCUGCUCCUCUGCUGCCCCCAAACCCCAAAGCCCUGGACAGGCAGAACCCGGCUGGGAGCUCAGCUGGGCCUUUCCCAGGGAGCAGAGAGGGGACACAGGAGCAGGGCAGUGACAAAGGUGGGGACUGCCACCCCUUUGGCAGCACUCAGGGAGUCCUUCCCCUCCUUCCCUCCCAGAACGAGCAGCGAUGAGUGAGGAAAAGCCAGCAGGAAAAGCCCUCUGUUGGACAGACAGACUGACAGACUGACAGUCAGUGUCUGUGCCCCCUCUCACACCUUGCCCCGGGGCUCAGAAGUCGCUGAGGAUGCUGAUGUCGGCGAACUCGGCGCGGUACCGGUGCGAGUAGAGGCUCAGCAGCAGCGCCCACUUGAGCGCCAUGAAGCUCCACACGCAGGACAGGUAAUAGCUCUUGGGGUCAG
rnacentral:lncRNA from 1 species